rnacentral:rRNA from 1 species
UACGUAGGUGGCAAGCGUUAUCCGGAAUUAUUGGGCGUAAAGAGCGCGCAGGUGGUUUAUUAAGUCUGGUGUAAAAGGCAGUGGCUCAACCAUUGUAUGCAUUGGAAACUGGUAGACUUGAGUGCGGGAGAGGAGAGUGGAAUUCCAUGUGUAGCGGUGAAAUGCGUAGAUAUAUGGAGGAACACCGGUGGCGAAAGCGGCUCUCUGGUCUGUAACUGACGCUAAGGUUCGAAAGCGUGGGUAGCAAACAGG